CCUACGGGAGGCAGCAGUGAGGAAUAUUGGUCAAUGGGCGGAAGCCUGAACCAGCCAAGUCGCGUGCAGGAUGACGGCCCUACGCUUUGUAAACUGCUUUUAUCCGGGAAUAACGCCCCUUACGUGUAGGUCUUUGCAUGUACCUGAUGAAUAAGCACCGGCUAAUUCCGUGCCAGCAGCCGCGGUAAUACGGAGGGUCCGGGCGUUAUCCGGAUUUAUUGGGUUUAAAGGGAGCGUAGGCCGCAUGUCAAGCGAGCGGUGAAAUGUCCGGGCGCAACCCGGGCCUUGCAGCGCGACCUGGCGUGCUUGAGUCCGCGGAAGGCAGGCGGAAUUCGUGGUGUAGCGGUGAAAUGCUUAGAUAUGACGAAGAACCCCGAUUGCGAAGGCAGCUUGCGGCAGCGGAACUGACGCUGAUGCACGAAAGCGCGGGUAUCGAACAGGAUUAGAUACCCGUGUAGUC
rnacentral:rRNA from 1 species